UUCUGUGUGAAAAGCAACAUUACUCAUAAAUACCGCAGAUUCUUCGCCAAUGAAAAGAAUACACAAGACAAGACAAAUCUUAUUUGAAACAGAUUUUCUUGAAGGAAUGUGUACAAAAAUAGAGAUCCCAGGCAUAACAUCCUAGAAAAAUGGAAAAAUCUACAAUCAACUUUCAUCAGAUAUGAGGAAAACAAACAUAAAACAGGCAGAAGUACUAUGCAAGAACUAGCAUUUUAUGAUUUGCUUGCCAUCAUCUUAUUAGGCAGACCUGCUGUUAGACCAAGGCACGUGACGUCUUGUGGGAUGGAAACGGACCAAGAAACUUGGUAGCAGCAGCAUUAAACCAGCCUUUCACAAUUUACAGGAGAAAUUCAGCAACAAGCAGUACCAGCAGUAACUUCAGGAAUAUCCCCCACACAGAGCCAACAGUCAUUGGACCAAUGUCAUGUAACACAUGUAACAGACCCAGGCCCAUCACCAGCACUACCUCAGCCAGCGGCAACAAUUCAGCAACCUCCAUGAACAAGGCAAAGGAGGCGGCACCCACAAUCAUUGUUAGAGAGGGUUAAGAAAUUAAGAGACAAAGUAGAUGUUCAUUUUGAAAAAUUUCAAGAAUGGAAAGAUAAAUUCUUGAUAGAAAGAUAGCAAGAAACCAUGAGGAAAUACAGUUAAAAGUAGUCUGUCUGAAAAUAAUGAAUGAUAUUGCCAAGAAAUACAAAUGCUUUGAUACACAUUCUUAUUUUUUUUAUUAAUUCUUUUCUUAAUUAAUGUCUGUUUUGUUUUUAUUGUUAAUUUCAAGUCUUUUGAUUACCAAAGUUUUGUGCAAGUUUUAGUUACGGCUGUUUAUAGUCUACAUUUUUUUAAGGAAUAUUUUCUUGAUUUUUUGAUGUUCCAUACUUAUUGCCUUAAAAAAUUAGGUUUUACCUGUACUACCUUGUAUAUUAUACUAGAAGGAUUACCAUUAUUACUUUGGUAAUAAAUAUAUAAGAUUAAUAAUCACCUGGAACUCCAAACCAAUGAAAAAAAAAGAAUUUUCAGUCCUGUGUCUUUUUUCCUCAAUAAGAAUUAUUUAUUUUUUAAUCUGAAAUUUCUAAUCUUAGCUUUAAGUUUAGCUAUAUGGUAUAUAGAAAAAAAUAUGCAUGUUUCUUUUUUUGUAAAGAAAUUGAAAAGUAUAUAAAUUUUUUUUGGUGUGACUGUUUCUGUUUCUUAAAAAAAAAAAAAAAAAAUAUUUUCAGUUUGCAACUUAUAGUCCUCAAAGUUCUAGUUUUAUGCAGGAAAAUUUAUUUUAUAUGCUAUGAUUGAUUGAAUCAUAUUAGCCAUGCUGAUAUGCAGAUUUGUACCACAUAGAAAAAAAA